rnacentral:piRNA from 1 species
UCAUGAGAAAUCUCACAUGGA